UGGGGAAUAUUGGACAAUGGGGGGAACCCUGAUCCAGCCAUGCCGCGUGUGUGAAGAAGGCCUUAUGGUUGUAAAGCACUUUAAGCGAGGAGGAGGGUACUGGUAUUAAUACUACCAGGUACUGGACGUUACUCGCAGAAUAAGCACCGGCUAACUCUGUGCCAGCAGCCGCGGUAAUACAGAGGGUGCGAGCGUUAAUCGGAUUUACUGGGCGUAAAGCGUGCGUAGGCGGCUAAGUGAGUCGGAUGUGAAAUCCCCGAGCUUAACUUGGGAAUUGCAUUCGAUACUGGUUAGCUAGAGUGUGGGGGAGGAUGGUAGAAUUCCAGGUGUAGCGGUGAAAUGCGUAGAGAUCUGGAGGAAUACCGAUGGGGAAGGCAAGCAUCUGGCCUAACACUGACGCUGAGGUACGAAAGCAUGGGGAGCAAACAGG
rnacentral:rRNA from 1 species